rnacentral:lncRNA from 1 species
ACUGGGGCGCUACGGUUCCUGGAGCUGGGCAGUCUUCUCGUCAGAGUGGGGACUGGUAAGAGCGACCUCCCCGCCAGGUCCUGUGUGUUGCCGGCUGAAGAAGGGAUGAUGAUUAUUCCCCACCUUCUAAGAGACAAAGACCAACGAGCCACCACAGCCACCAGUCCCAGAACCCGCCAAUGCUGGGGAAUGGAAAAUGAGGGAGUUCAACUCUGGCCCUCACAAUCCAGUGGAGGAGACGAAACUCAUCUGCCUCUGUCCCUCUGGGCACACCUCAUGCCAGGUGCAUCUGUGGACAGGGGCCAUGCUCCUGGGCUUCCAAAGUUGGAGAAAGCUGCCAGGCUCAGACCCACCUAAGCUGAAGAUUCCCUUGAGAACAAGUACUGUCCUGUGGUUUCAUGGCCUUUCUUCCAUUUGUGGUUCUUGCGAAGUGGAAUUUAAAUGACAUCUUAUCAAGAUGGAUAAACCCUAGUUUCCCAGUGCUGGAAUAUAGAAAAUGGAUGGACAACUGGACCUACCAUGAAAGACUUCUGAAUCCAGGAAGAGAAACUGACUGGGCAACAUGUUAUUCAGAGAUGGGACCUCAGUAUGUUGCCGCGGCUGACCUUGAACUCCUGCACUCAAGGGAUUUUCCUGCCCUGGCCUCCCAAAGUAUUGGUAUUACAGGCAUGAGCCAUUGUGCCCACCGUCUCUGGUUCUUAACCUUCUGCCUCCCUCUUCCAGUUUUAAAGAAUGCUUGUAAUUACAUGGGCUCUCCUAGAUACUCCAGGAUAAUCUUGUUUUAAGGUCAGCUGAUGAGCAACAUUAAUUUUAUCUGCACUCUUAAUUCCCCCUUCCUAUGUAAUUGUGCUGUGUAACAUAGGACAUGAGCAAUUGGUGGCGGUGGGGGUUAUUACUUUGGCCACCACAGUAACUAUUUUAUGCCAGGUACUCAGCUAAGCACUGGUGAAUUAAGCAUGAAUAACACACACUCCCUAAUCUCCAUCCAUUCAUGGGAGGAGCACCUCACCUGCCAUGCUCCUGAGAAUCUCGGGAGUCAGAGAAGUCUUCUAUGAGGAGGUGAUGCCAAAGCGGACAAGUGACAGAGGAGUCGAAGCUAGCUAGGAAGAGAGUAGAGGUUUAAGGGGAAGCAUAGUAUAAGCAGAGGAUAUUACCCACUUCAGAGACUCCCAGAGGAGAAAGAGUGUGCGUUGAAGGGGCAGAUGAGGCUCAGUUGGACUCCAUAGCAGAUGAAAUGGAGAGGGGCAAGCAGUGAGGCUGCCUUGCAAGGCAGGGCAGAGCAGGGGCUGUUAAGGAGUUUGGACUUAAUCCCUGAGGCAAGGAGAAGUGAUGUAAAUGGGGGAGUAACAUGAUGAGAUUCAUGGAUUAGAGACAUGGCUCAGGCUGCUGUAGAGAAGGCGCCAGGGAGAGCAGAUGGCUCAAUGGGUGUGCAGGAGACCUCUCACUGAGUUUAGGGAGAGGUUUUUAAAACAGAAGAAGUUUGAGUAAUUUAAAUGAUGAUGGGAAGGAGCUAAAAGUGGGGGAUAGGUUAAAGAUACAGGAAAGUGGGAGGAAGAACUGACAAGUGAGGUUCCAGAGAGGGCAGGAGAAGAGGAGAUUCCCAUAGGGGGAUUAACACUUUCUUUUCUUUUUUCUUUCUAAGACAGGGUCUCACUCUGUCGCCCAGGCUGGAGUACAGUGGCACAAUCUUGGCUCACUGUAGUGUAGACUUCCCAGGCUCAAGGGAUUUCUCCCACCCCAGACUCCCAAGUAGCUGGAACUACGGGUGUGCACCACCACCACACCUGGCUAAUGUUUCUUUUUUUGGUAGACACAGAGUCUCACUAUUUAGCACUGAUUGGUCUCCAACUCCUGACCUCAAGCGAUCCUCCUGCCUAGGCUUCCCAAAUUGCUGGGAUUACAGGCAUGAGCCACAAUGCCUGGCCUCUGCUAGUUCCGUACUCUCUAGAGUUGUCUUUACUUUGUGCUAGCGUGUCCCUCAUUGUGCUGAUCCUCUGUAAAAAUUAAUACCUUUUUUUUUUUUUCGAGACAGAGUUUCACUCUUGUUGCCCAGGCUGGAGUGCAAUGGCGCUAUCUCGGCUCAGCGCAACCUCCACCUGCCGGGUUCAAGCAAUUCUCCUGCCUCAGCCUCCCGAGUAGUUGGGAUUACAGGCAUGUGCCACCAUGCCCAGCUAAUUUUGUAUUUUUAGUAGAGAUGGGGUUUCUCCAUGCUGGUCAGGCUGGUCUCGAACUCCUGACCUGAGGUGAUCUGUCUGCCUUGGCCUCCCAAAGUGCUGGGAUUACAGGCAUGAGCCAUUGUGCCUGGCCAAAAUUAAUACUUUUUAUAUUAAAUUUACAUAUAUAUAUGUUUUUUCUUUUUGAUACCGGGUCUCACACUGUCACCCAGGCUGGAGUACAGUGGCACAACCUCUGCUCACUGCAGCCUCCACCUGCCAGGCUCAAGCAAUUCUCCUGCCUCAGCCUCCCGAGUAGCUGGGAUUACAGGUAAGUGCCACCACACCCAGCUGAUUUUUGUGUUUUUUGUAGAGACGAGGUUUCACCAUGUUUCCCAGACUGUUCUCAAACUCCUGAGCUCAAAGCAGUCCACCCACCUUGGCCUCCCAAAGUGCUGGGAUUACAGGUGUGAGCCAUCUUGCUCAUUCUAGUUUAAACUUUUGAGUGGUUUGUGUCUCCUGAUUGGACUCCUACAAAUACAGAAUUGAUGCUAGGAAGGGUACCAGGAGAUAGAUGCACACAGAUGGGAUUUGGGAAUAGGUUUGGUUAUCCAAGGAGCAGUGCUGAGCUCCUUGCUAAUGGGAUAUGGGAUGCUGGUGAUUUCCAGGAAGUGACCUCACAAUGACUCAAGCUACCACAUACUGUUGAUUGUGAAAUGCCAGUUGAAGCAUAUGUCCUGCGAGCUUAGGGGUGCUACAAGUUGACCACUGCAGCAGUAAAGAUGACUCUGAAGAAUGGCAUGGGAUGGAUCCUUUCGAAUGCACUUGAGCAGCAGUCUCCAACCACAGGGCCACAGAGCUGGAGCUGGAUCUACCAUGAAAGACUUCUGAAUCCAGGAAGAGAGACUGACUGGGCAACAUGUUAUUCAGGGUCUCCCUCUGUUGUCCAAGGCUGGAGUGUAGUAGUGCUAUCACAGCUGACUGCAGCCUCAACCUUCCAGGCUGAAGUGAUUCUCCCAUCUCAACCUCCCACGUGGCUGAGACUACAGGUGCUUGCCACCAUGCCCAACUAAUAUUUGGAAUUUUCAUAUAAGUGGAUUCCAGAGGGGUGACAGCAAAACGUGGGACCAUCCAGUUGCAGGAAAACAAGCUUAACACGCCCACUGAUUUUACAUUAUGCUCCUACCACCCGGCAGCCUCUCCAGGCCCAGAACUUUCUCCAGUCAGCCUCUACAGACCAAGCUCAUGACUCACAAUGGCCUAUUUAGGCCCAUACCCUACCUCACGGCAGUCUCCGCAGAUGAGCCUACUGCCUCACAACAGCCUCCACAGGCACAGCUCCAUCAUUACAAUGGCCUCUUUAGACCCAGCUCCUGCCUCCCAGCCUUCUCUCCAGGCCCUGAACUUUCUGAAGUCGACCUCACCAGGCCCAGCUCAUGCUUCUUUGCAGCCUCUCCAGGCCCAGCUCCUGCAUCUUGGUGGCCCCUCCAGGCCCAGCCUCUGCCUCCCGUCGGCCUCUACAGUCCCAACAUCUGCCUCAUAGCAGAUUCUUGAGGCCCAGCAUCUGCCUCACUGUGGACCCCCCAAGCCAAGCUCCCAACCUUUCAGCAGCUUCUACACACCCAGCUCCUGCCACCCAGUGGCCUCUUUAGGCCAAGCUCAUGCUUCACAAGGGCCUUUCCAGGCCCAACUUUCGUCUCAUGGCAACCUUCCCUGGCCAGAUUCCUGCGUGUCUCCCAGCAGCCUAGACAGGCCCAGGUCUUGCCUCACACUGGCCUCUCUACAUCCAGCUCAUGCCUCACGGUGACCUCUCCAGGCACAGCUCCUGUCCCAGAACGUCAUCUCCGGGCCCAAAACUUACUCAAGUCAGCCUCUCUAGUCCCAACUGCUGCCUCCUGGUGGCCUAUGAAGGCCCAAAAUCUCCUCAAGUUGACCUCUCCCGGCCCAGCUCCUGCCUCCUGUCAGCAUCUACAGGCCCAACCUCUGCCUCAUGGGGGCUUCUCCGGGCCCAGCUCUUCCUAUUGGCUGAGUCUACAGGCACAACUGCUGCCUCACAACAGCCUUUUUUGGCCCAGUUCCUGUCCAGUUCAUGGCGGCCAAUGUAGGCCCAAAACUUCCUCAGGUCAUACUCUCCAGGCCCACCUUCUGCUUCCUGGUGGCAUGAACAGGCCCAGCUUUGACUUGAGAACAGCCUCUGCAGGCCCUGCUCUUGCCUCCCAGGGGCUUUUCCAAGCCCAGCUCUUGCCUCAUGGCAGCUGCCCCAGGCCAAAUUUCUUCCUGCCUGCCAGCAGCCUCAACAGGCACAGCUCCUCCCUCACAGUGGCCCAUUUAGGCCCCACUCAUGACUGUCGGGCCAUUUCCAGGCCUAGUGCCUGCCUCCUGGCUGACUCUUUCUUGAAGCCCAAAACUUCCUCAAAUCAGCCUUUUGCCUAACUUCUGUCUACUGUCGGACUCUACAGGCCAGCCUCUGCCUCACAGUGGACCCUCCAGACCCAGAUGGUGUCUCACUGUGGCAUCCUCAGGCGAAGCUCCUGCCUUUCGGCAGCCUCUACAGGCCCAGCUCCUGCCUUGCAGUGGCCUCUUUAGGCCAAGCUCAUGCCGCAUGGCGACUUUUCCAGGCACAGCUUUUGCCUUUUGCAGCCUGUCCAGGCCCAGAAUGUCCUUAACUCGGCAUCUCCAGGACGAGCUUAUCCUCCCAGUGCGUCUACAGGCCCGUCUCCUGCCUCACAACAACCUCUUUUGGCCCAACUCCUGCUGAGCUGCUGGCAGCCUCUGUAGGCCACAGACUUCUUAAAGUAAAGCUUUCCAGCCACCUUCGGCCUCCCAGCAGCCUCAGCAAUCAAACUAUUCCCUCACUGCGGCCACCGAAAGCCAAGUUUCUCCCUGCCUCAUGGCAUCCUCCGAAAACUGAGCAUUUGCCUCACGGUGGCCUCCCCAGGCCACGAAUCUGCCUGCCUCCCAGGCAGGUGCUGCCUCACAAUGGUCUCUUUAGGCCCAGCUCAUGCUAAAAGAUGGACUCUCCAGGUACAGCUCUUGCCUCCUGGCAGCCUCUGCAGGCCCAAAUUCUCCAAAAGUUGGCCUCUCCUAACUCAGCUCCUGCCUCAUGUCGGCCUACACAGGCCCAGACUCUUACCACACAGUAGACCCUCCAGGCCCACCACUUGCCUGAUCAUAGCCUCCUAAGGCCAAGCUCCUGCCUUUCAGCAGCCUCUACAGGCCCAGCUCCUGCCUCGCAAUUGCCUUUGUAGGCCAAGAUCAUGCCGCGAAGUGGCCUUUCCUAGCCUAACUUUUGCUUUUUGACGCAUACUCCAGUCCCAAAACUUCCUCCAGUCAGCCGGUCCAGGCCAAGCUCUUCCUCCCAAAGGCUUCUGCAGGCCAAAAUCAUCCUGAAGUCACCCUCUGCAGGCCCAGCUCCUGCCUCCAAGUGCUGUGUAGGCCAAGCUAAUGCCUCACAGCACACUUUCCAGGCUGAGCGUUUCCUUUUGUGCAUCCUCUCCAAGCCCUGAACUUACUCCACUUGGCCUCUCCAGACCAAGCUCUCCCUCCCAGUGGCCUCUACAGGCCAAAAUUGUCCUCAGGUCUGCCUCUCCAGGGCCACCUCUUAGCUACCAGUGGCUUCUGCUGGCCAAAAUCGACCUCAAGUCAGCCUCUUCACACCCAGCUCUUGCCUCUGAGUGGCCUCUCCAGGAGCAAAACUUUCUCAAGUCGGCCUCUCCAGGCCCAGCCUCCUGCUUCCCGAGGGCAUGUACAGGCCCAGCCUCUGCCUCACAGCAGACUCUCCACACCCAGCUCUUCCCUGUCUGCGGCCUCUCCAGUCCAAAGCUGCUGCUGCCUUUUGGCAGCUUGUACAGGCUCAGCUCCUCCCUCACGGUGGCCUCUUUCAGCCCAACUCAUGCCUCUUGCAACCUGCCCAAGUGUCAGCUCCUGUCUCACACUGGCCUGUUGAGGGCCAGCUCAUGCCUCUCGUGGCCUCAACAGGCCCAUCCCCUGCCUGUCGGCGGCCUCUACAGGCCCGGCCUCUACCUCACAGUGGGCUCUCCAGGCCCACCUCUUCCUCACCGUGGCCUCCUGGGGCAAUGCUCCUCCCUCUCGGGAGCCUCUGCGGGCCCAGCUCCUGCCUCCCAGUGGCCUCUGUAGACCAAGCCCGUGCCUCAGGGCAGCCUUUCCAGGCCUAGCGUUUGCUGCUUUGCAUCCUCUCCAGGCCCUGGACUUCCUCCAGUCGGCCUCUCCAGGCCCAGCUCUUCCUCUCGGCGGCCUCUGCAGGGCCAGACUGUCGUCAAGUCGGCCUGUCCAGGGCCAGCUCCUGCCUCCCGGCGGCCUCUGCAGGCCCAAGUCGUUCUCAAGUCGGCUUCCCCAGGCCCAGCUCCGGCCUCUUGGCGGCCUCUCCGGGUGCAAAAGUUCCUCGAGUCAGCCUCUCCAGGCCCAGCUCCUCCUGCCUCCCAGUGGCCUCUUUCGGCCCAGCCCAGCUCAUGCCUCCCGGCGGCCUUCCCAGGCCCCGCUUUUGACUUUCGGUGGCCUCUGCAGGCCUCGACAAGGCCCGGCCUCCUGCCUCCAGAAGGCCUGCACAGGCCCAGCCUCUGCCUCACAGCGGACUCUCCACGCCCAGCUAGCUCUCGCCUCACUGCGGCCUCCCGAGUCCAAAGCUCCUGCCUCUCGGCCGCUUCGGCAGGCCCAGCUCCCGCCUGCCAGUGGCCUCUUCAGGCCCAUGGGGCUCAUUCCUCACAACAGCCUUUCCAGGCCCAGUUUUUCCCUUCCGGCGGCCUCUCCGGGCCCAGAACCUCCUCAAGUCGGCCUCUCCAGACCCACUUGCAGCCUCCCGGCAUCCUCUCCGGGCCCAGCUCUUCCUCCCGGCUGCGUCUCCAGGCCCGACUUUGGCCUCCCAACAACGUCUUUGGACUCAGCUCCUGCCCAGCUCCCAGCGGCCCUGGUAGGCCCACAGCUUCCCGAAGCCAAGCUCCCCAGGCCCAGCUCAGGCCUCACGGUGGCCUCUCCAGGCCAGCUCCUGCCCUCUGAUGGCAUCUGCAGGCCCCAAACGGCCUCCGGUUGGUGGGCUCCUCUAGGCCCAGCUUGGGCCUCCUGGCGGCCUCUGCAGGCCCAAAUCGUCCUGAAGUCGGCCUCUCCAGGCCCAGCUCCGGCCUCCCGGCGGCCUCUGCAGGCCCAAGUCAUCCUCAAGUCAGCCUGGAAUUGGGCCUGGAAGAGAGCAAGUCGGCCUCCCCGGGCCCAGCUCCGGCCUCUUGGCGGCCUCUCCGGGUGCAAAAGUUCCUCGAGUCAGCCUCUCCAGGCCCAGCUCCUCCUGCCUCCCAGUGGCUUCUUUCAGCCCAGCCCAGCUCAUGGCUCUCAGCGGCCUUCCCAGGUCCCGCUUUUGACUUUUGGCGGCCUCUUCAGGCCCAGAACUUGACCUCCAGUCGGCCUUUGCAGGCCCGGCCUCCUGCCUCUCAAAGGCCUGCACGGGCCCGGCCUCGGCCUCGGCCUCACAGCGGACUCUCCACGCCCAGCUAGCUCUCGCCUCACUGUGGCCUCCCCAGUCCAAAGCUCCUGCCUUUCGGCCACUUCAGCAGGUCCAGCUCCUGCCUGCCAGUGGCCUCUUUAGGCCCAGCUCAUUCCUCACAACGGCCUUCCCAGGCCCCGUUUUUCCCUUCCGGCAGCCUCUUGGCCUCUAAUUUGUUUAUCUUUUGUGUAUAAAUCCCAAAAUAUGGAAUUUUGGAAUAUUUCCACCAUUAUAUAUUUUGGUAGGUAAUUUAUUUGGAGUGAGUUUCUGCACCAUGCCAGAAUUUUUUAUUUUAUUUUCCUUAUUAUUUAGUGUUAAACAGGUUUAAUGACGGUCAUGGCAACUUUUUGGCACAGUGAAAAAUAUCGCCCAUGAUCAACGUGUUCUGUUCUGGGGAAGGGGGCAAAGGCAGGGUGAAUCACUUUCUUAAAAAGUAUAGCUCAAGUUGGGAGUGCAGAGGGAAUGGGGAGAAAACCCUCCCGCUGCCUGUGUCGAAGUGUAGGAGCCCCCACCCCCAUACUCACCUGAGUCCAGCCCCUCUGGGGAAAGAAGGGGUGCAUGAACUCCCCCUAGUCCACAGGCACCUCCCUGUGGCCCAAGGCUCUCUUCACACUCCAUCUUGAAGCCCCAGCAGGAGCUAUUUUCCAAAAAGUGAAAAGCUCUGAAGGUCCCACAAUUCAUGGUACAUACAGGGGCUCGGAGGAGGGAAACUGCCCAGCUUUCCCCCGGCACAGCUGCAGGGGUAGGGGGUAUAGAUAAGAGGAGCAGGCCUUGGCCAGGCGUGGUGGCUCACGCCUGUAAUCCCAGCACUUUGGGAGGGGGAGGCAGGCGGAUCAUGAUGUCAGGAGAUCGAAAUCAGCCUGGCCAAGAUGAUGAAGCCCCAUCUGUACUAAAAAUACAAAAAUUAGCCAGACGUGGUAGCGUGCACCUGUAAUCCUAGCUACCCGGAAGGCUGAGGCAGGAGAAUGGCGUGAACCCGGCGGGAAGAGGUUGCAGUGAGCCAAGAUCGCACCACUGCACUCCAACCUGGGCAACAGAGCAAGACUCGGUCUCAAAAAAAAAAAAAAAAAAAAAAGCAGGCCUUGUUCCGUCCCAAACUGAAAGGAUUAAAUGGCUUUACCUGGGAGAAGAUAACCAUCCUGCCCUCCAUUGCUACCCCCACAUACUGUCCAUGUUCUCAGGGGGUACUGUGAGUCCUGGGAUCUUCUUUGGGGUCGCCCACCUGCCUGUGGUAGUUAUGGAGACCCCCAGGUGUUGAGGCAGGGCUGGGGUGUCCCCUUCCAACCAGGCUGUCAAGGCCCCAGCUCUGGGGCAGAGGCAGUGGCAGGGCAGCCAGGGUUGCGCCAGAGCCUGAGCAGGGUGAGGUGGGGUCAGGCAGGGCUGGGAGUCAGGGCAGGGGCAGCAGCAGUGGACCCGCUAUGCACACAUCUUCUUCUCCAAGGUUUGUGUGCAGAACAUCCUGCCCAUGUUGCCCCAGCAGCUUCAGUUGGCACCUGCCCCAGUCCAGCCUCUGGGAACCAUGCAGCGGCUCCCAGUGGCCCUGCACCCACCACCAGCAUCCGUUUCACCUGCAGUUGAAGAUCAGUGAGGUGCCCAGAAGAUCAUGCAGUCAUCAGUCCCACAGAGCAGCCCGCGAGGCUGAGGCUCCUCCCACUGGACCGUCACCCAACUGGCACCACUGCUGCCCCUGCCCCUACUCUCAGCCUGACGUGACUCUCGGGCAGAGACAGUGGUGGGGCAGCCAGGGCAGCGUCAAGAGUCUGAGCCAGGUGAGGUCCGGUCAGGACCCCCACAGGGCUGGGAGUCAGGGCAGGGGCAGAACAAACCUUGGAGGGGAAGAUGUGUGCAUAGUGGGCCUGGUGGGCGGCUGUGGCCUAGUGGACAGGAAGAAGCAGUGGGCCUGGAAGAGCUGCAUGAUCAGGGCCGGCACUGGUCCAGGGCGCGUGCAGUGAAGAGGACAGCACCUUCUCGGUCUCCGGUUCCCUGAGCCUGUCCUCGGCUUCUCCACCUGUACAGGCAAAGGGGAAGCUGUCCCCAUCACACAUGGCACACUUGGGGGUGUUGGGCUUUGGGCUGCAGCUGGAGCAUCUUCUCAUCUUGCAUUUGGGUGUGGUGGGGUCCUCCAGUGUGGGAUCCAUGUCCGUGGGGUUCCCUCUGCCCCGACCCCGAAAGCCCAGUCAGUUUCUCUUCAGGCUCUGCCCCCUGGGUGGCUCAGCCCAGCUCCUGCCUAGGAAAGCCUUAGUGUUGGGAGGGACCCUGAUGACUGAGGAGCCUGGUAGCUCCAGGUCGCCCACACUUUCAGGUCUUUUGCACCAGAAGGUGGCAGGAUCCAUUGGGAGGAAACAGGUCGCCUUGGAAGGUGUCCCUGGGCCCCCAUCCCCAGGGGUAGGGGCCGUAGGGGGCCCGCUCUGCUGCCUUGACCAGACUCCUGGGCUUUGAAGGCUCCUGGGCCCAGUAAGAAGGAGGUGGGUGUCAAGGUUGAGGAGGAAGCAUCCGAGUAUGUGUAGGAGGAGGACAGGGUGGGACCAUAGACUUUGCCAAAAGCUGCAGGUGGAUCGGGGGACCCUGGGGGCUCAGUAUCCAGCAAGGGGCAGCAGGAGUAAAGGAGGAAGGAAUGACAGGUGCAAAUACCUUCCCACCAAAGCCCUUGUUGCCCUCUGGCUCCUCCCCAGAGUUGUCCCCACUCUCAGUCGGUCACCCAGUCCUUGAACUUGAGAUCGGUGUCAGUGGUGCUAAAGCCAUCAUCAGCAAUGACAUCAUCACCCCCUCCUCCUCAUGGAUGACCGUGUGCUCCUCGUCACUCGCUAUGUCCACACUGGCCAUGUGCUGGGAAUGAGCAGCUCAGGUGGGCAGCAGCAGGGCUGCCCACUGGUCACCUCCCUCACCAGGGGCUGCAAAGUGGCCUGGAGCUCCAUACUGAGUAGAAGCCUUUGGGCCAGAGUAUGAUGCAGUGCCAGACACCACCUGUGUCAGUUCCUGUAGUGCCUGACGGUCUAUUUCCCUGCCAUCCAGGCUGUGUACCCCCCUGUGGGUGAAGGCUUGGGCCAGGCUGAGCCAGGUUCCCUGACUGUGUGCAGCCGUUCUGCCCCACAGAAGCUGCUCCUUGGUAUCCGAGCUCUGGAGUGUUUGGGCUGCAACUGACAGGAGUUCAGAGGACACCCCAGGGGCAGUGGCAGUGCCCGUCUCUGAUAUGCUCCGCUCCCACAAGCCCUUGUUACACUCCUGCUAGCCCCUGGCUUGUGGGCUUGGCCUCUGAGCUGGACUUCUUUCGGUCCUUGUUGCAAGUGGGCCACCUUCACCUGGAAGGCCAGGUCGUGGUAUUUCUGCGUCUCAUUGGGCCCCAGGGUGUACCACCGCUCGCUCAGCAUCUGGCUGACGGUCCGGUUAUCCUGGUUGGGGUGACCCUGGUGCGCCCUGCCAGGGCCUGGUGCCGCUUGCUGAAGAUCAUGACCACCACUCAUGGGCCACUGGAUGUGGUCCUUGUCCCAUUUGUUGGGGCUGCGUCCAUCCUUCUCAGAAGAUGAGUCCUGUUCCUUGUGCAGGGCACUGAGGGACUGGGCCUGACAUCAUCUGAGUGGUAGAGGCAACGGGGUGUCAGGAGACAUGAUGGAGAGGAAAGCAUCAUCAUGGUCAUUCUCUGUCUCACUGUCCAGCAGGGACUCCCCUGAGGGGCCCAGGGCUCCUCCUCCAUGGUGGGAGCUGCAGGACAAGUUCGAGCAUCUUAAAAUGAUUCAACAGGAGGAGAUAAGGAAGCUCGAGGAAGAGAAAAAACAACUGGAAAGAGAAAUCAUAGAUUUUUAUAAAAUGAAAGCUGCCUCUGAAGCACUGCAGACUCAGCUGAGCACUGAUACAAAGAAAGACAAACAUCGUAAGAAGCAAUAGUUUCUCUUACUAUUCUGAGAGCCUUAUCAUUCUACAUCCCAUCUUCCUGUGAGAUUGUCUUUGUAGCAUUUAACUCUAAUUGCAGUUCUCAUUUUAAAAAUUGGCUUGCUUAUUGUAUAUUUUCCCCAACUAAAGCGUGAACUCCUAGCAGGGCGUGGUGGCUCAUGCCUGUAAUCUCAGCACUGUGGAAGGCCGAGGUGGGUCGACUACCUGAGGUUAGGAGUUCGAGACCAGCCUGACCAACAUAAUGAAACGCUGUCUCUACUAAAAAUACAAAAAUUAGCUAGGCGUGGUGGCUGGGACCUGUAAUCCCAGCUACUUGGGAGGCUGAGGCAGGAGAAUCACUUGAACCCUGGAGGUGGAGGUUGCAGUGAGCAGAGAUCUCACCAUUACACUCCAGCCUGGGUGACAAGAGCAAAACUCCAUCUCAAAAAAAAAAAAAAAGGUGAACUUGAAGGCAGGUCCUGUGUCCAUCUUUUCAGAUUCUGUAUCCCAGCACUUAGGACAUAGACAAACACGAAGAUGACAAUCAAUAUUUGCCAAAAUGAAAAAACAAAAGAAACGUAACAUCAUGUAAAAGAAGCUGGUUAGGUGGAGAAAUUUCUUUACCAUAGUCUUGCUUGUGGAUCCAGUAGUGACUUUUACAUUUUAUAUCUAAAUAGAAGCUGGAGGCUUUGUUGGGGACUCAUAGGCAUAAAAUAUUAUGCUAUUUAUUAUAGAGUUAAAUGCUACAAAGACAAAUCUAAUUAAUAGGCCUAUUUUCCUUUUUAAAUUCUACUCAUAAUUUCUUCAUAGUUUUUAUGAUAAAAGGUUGGAUUUUGAUUAGAACUCCCAUGCUUUUGUGUCAGAAUUAAAACUGGUAUUAGAAUAAAUAAUUCAAAAGCUAGAGAAAGAGUACAAUGAGAAGCCAUGAGUUGCAUUUGAAUUAUAAUAUUAUGUCUUACAGAUUUGGGGUAUAUACUAAAGUUACCAAGUUGUAGAAAAUCAGGCCGGGCAUUGUGGCUCACAUCUGUAAUUCCAGCACUUUGGGAGGCCGAGGUGGGCGGAUCAUUUGAGGUCAGGAGUUCGAGACCAGCCUGGCCAACAUGGUGAAACUCCGUCUGUACUAAUAGUACAAAAAUUAACCAGGCGUGAUGGUGUGCAUCUGUAGUCCUUGCUACUCAGAAAGCUGAGGCAGGAGAAUCGCUUGUACCCAGGAGGCAGAGGUUGCAGUGAGCAGAGAUUGUGCCACUGCACUCCAGCCUGGGUGACAGAGUGCUAUGAGUCACCACACCUGGUAUGAGCCACCGUGCCUGGCCCACAAUGACUUUUACACAAGUUGUUAAAUCAUCUUACAGAUUUUAUAAUUUGGGGGAAGAAAAGUUUUACUAAAUGGUCUUUUAAUGGAAACUCUACAAGAACCAGAAUCUUUGCUUUGUUCACUUAUGUAUCCAUUCCUAGGCCUAGAAAAAUGUCUGACACAUAGCGGCAAUUAUUCAUUGAAUAAAUGGACCCAGCGAUAGUACAUUAGCUGUGCUAUAUGCAUACAUUAAAGAUGUAGAUUAUUGACUUUCAAAAGAUAAUUAAUGUAACUUCUUACUGCUUCUGAUCAUGUUUGUGAGUUAUAUUGCUGAGGGACCUUUAUCUUCUCAUUCUUUCAUCUUAACCCAGUGUUAUAAAAUUGAAAUCACCAAUAUUAUUCCAUAUCUAAAAUUAAUAUCUACCUUGUAAAAAAUAUCACUCUGCUGCAUUUGAGAAUAGACUUUUUAGGUAAUAAUGAUGCAAUCCGUAGGGUUUUUUGGGGGCACAGGGGGAUUCAUGCUAAUAGAACAUUUUAUUUUGUAUUUUCCCAGAGCUGUAAAACAUGAAAUUAGGGUAGUAUAAGGCAUAUUUUUACUCUUUUUAUAAUUUUUUCUAAAAAAAAUUAGUGUUUGUUCCCUAUAUAACUUUUAACUUUAUAGGUAAAUAUUUGUCUCGUUCAGCUCCAGUUUUAUGUGAAAUAGAGUUUUCAGAUUUAUGUAGCAUGGAAAGUUUUAAUACGUCAGAGUUACUGAUUUUUGCCAAUCAUUUUCUCAAUUAUUUCUUUUUUAUCUUUAGUUGAUUUUUUUGUAGUGACAUUUUGUUUCUAGUCUCAUUUCCUUUUGUUUAUAUUCUAUGUAUAUUUCGUUUUUGGUUACUAUGAGAAUUACAUAUAACAUCCUAGAGUUAUAACAUUUUAAUUUGAAUUUAUUCAACUUAAGUUCAAUCACAUACCAAAAUUCUACUGCUAUAUAUAUAGCUCUACUCUUUUUAUGUUAUUGAUGUAACAAAUUAUAUCUUUAUUCAUUGUAUACCAGCUAACAGAUUUACAAUUACAUUUUAUGCAUUUCCCUUUUAAAUUAUGUAGAAAAUAAAAAGCAGAGUUACAAACCAAAAUUACAAUAGGACUGUUUUUAUAUUUGUUUAUGUAUUUACCUUUACCAGAGAGCUUUGUAUAUUCAUACAGCUUGCUUAUUUACUUUUAUAGUUAUUGCCUAGAGUUCAUUUAUUUCAACCUGAAGGACUUAACACUUCUUGAAUGGCAAAUUCAGGGAUAAAUGGAUUUUUUUCAGUUUUAAAAAAAAAUCCGGAAAUGUCUUAAUUUCUUCCUCAUUUUUGAAGGAUAAGUUUUCCAGCUAUAGAUUUCUCAAUUGACAGGUUUCUUCAUUAUUUUAAAUAUAUAAUCCACUGCCUACUGGCCUUCAAGGUUUCUGCCGAGAAAUCAGCUGCUAAUGUUAUCUGGAUCCCUAUCUGUGAGAGUUGCUCUUCUCUCUGAGUUUUCAACAUUCUCCCAUUAUCUUUUUUGUUUGUUUUUGAGACAAAUAAUUGUACAUAUUCAUGGGAUACAGAGUGAUAUUUUGAUACAUGUAUACAAUGUCCAAUGAUCAAAUAAGGAUAAUUAGCAUAUCCAUCACCUCAAAUAUUUGUCAUUUAUUUGUAUUGUGAACAGUCAACAUUCUUCUAGUUUUUUAAAUUUAUAAACAUUUACAUUUUAUUACAGAAAUUUAAAUUUUUUGAUUCUGAAAAAGUCAUAUAUGUAUGCAACAUCUUUUUAUCAUUUAUUUAUAUGUUUAUGCAUCUUUCCUUUUAGUUUUGACAUUUUCUAUUUUAUCAUUAUUUCAAAAGAACUCUUACCUGUAUUUAUUUAUCAAUUAUAUUUCCCUUGUUUUUUCCUAGUAUAUUAUUUACUUAUCUUCUAAAAAUCCUCCAUAUAAUCUGUUUAUUUUGUUUCCUUUCUAUAAUUUCUUCAAUGAUUAGUUCUGUUCUAUUUUCCAUUAAAAUAUUUAAAUCUUGUAUGAAUUUUUGUCAGAUUAGAAAUUUAGGGCAUUUCUUAAUUUCUCUAUAUUCUAGUUUUGACUUUUUUUUUCUGACCUAAGAGGUAUUUAGAGCACAUUUUAAAUUUUUUAUUUUGACUAAUCAUUUAAAAUGUAUACUAAUCUUCAAUUUAAAUAAAAAACUGGUCUAUAGUGACAAAAAUUACAAAUGAGCCUAACUAAUAAAUUAUCAGCUGUGUUUAUAUGUAUAGGCAUGCACAGAUUUUGGUAAAUAUGUACAUAGUAUAUUGGUGAGCUUAUUUUUAUCAUUCUUAACUCAUUGUGUAGUCUAAACAUUGGGGAAAAAAUAAAAUACAAUAAUCAGAUGGUGUGAAUAAGAAAAUUGUUGUACUGUUUGUAAACCAAGCAACUGUUUUAACUGCUCCCCUCUUCCUGAUUGAGUUCUAAAAGGGAUUAAUCCAUAUUGGGUCCUAUCAUAUAUGUCACGGUAUAACAUCUCCAGCUAUAAAAUGGAAAUUUGAGAAUAACUUUGCUGCUACUCAGAUACAUUUUACUUCAAAAACAUACACUAAGGUGUUGCUGUUGGAUCUUUCCAAAAACAUAUUCACACAGAACUUUCAAUCACACUGAGCCAUAUUUGAACAAUCUUUCAAGGUCAGCUCUGGCAUAAGCUAACAUUAUACCAUUUAACUCAGAAAUUUCUUUAGUAUUUGAUUAAUGGGUUUAUGUUUGAUAUGUAAUGUAAUUUUCUAAUGCUAAAUCAAGUGGUAAUUUUGUUAGUCAAGUUGAUUUAGUGGCUUGGGAAGAAAGCUUUUAAUGUUCCCCUAAUUUUUCUUAACUUUGACAUGAUCCUUCACAUGUCUUAUUUUGCUUAGUGAUUUUUCUUUUUUUUUUUUUUUUGAGACAGGGUCUUACUCUACCACCCAGGCUUGAGUGCAGUGGUGCGAUCACAGCUCAUUGCAGCCUUGACCUCCCAGACUCAAGCUAUUCUUCCACCUCAGCCUCCCAAGUAGCUGGUACUACAGGCACAUGCCACCAAACUUGGCUAAUUUUUGUAUUUUUUGUAGAGACAGAGUUUUGCCAAAUUCUCAGGCUAGUCUGGAAUUUCUGGGCUCAAGUAAUCCUGCCUUGGCCUCCCAACAUGCUGAUAUUACAGACAUAAGCCACAGUACCUGGCCAGUUUUCUUUUUUAAAAAAUCUAUUGGUUAUUAAUUUGAAGCCUUCCUUUUCAUAGCUGUGCUCCUUAAUUGGGAGCAAACAUGAAUGGACCACAACUUAGCCAAUUUUCUAUAUACGAUCUUUGCCAUCCUAAUUUAAAGGAAUAUUAAUUCUUUCUUUUCCUCUUUCAUUCCACAAACCUGUAUUGACUACACCUAAGUUCUAAAUGGUGCACUGGAUGUUGAAAAAGUUGAUGAUGAGCAAGAACAAAAUUCCUCCUUUCAGGAGACUUACAAUUCAAUAUGGGAAAUAUAAUUUGUUAAAAUAUAAAAGUGCAAUUGUGUUACAUGCUGUACGAAGUACAUGUUGACAUGUGAGCAUAUAAUAAAUGGGCUGGAGGCCAGAGGAUUGCCAAAGAGAAUGGGCCUCCUGCUGAGACGAAAAGUUGAGCAGGGAUUAGUUGGCGAAAGUGGAGGGACGAUCCUUUCUAGGCAGGAGGAAGAACAUGUACAGAAUCUCUGAGGUGUGAUGCAACAAAGUCUAUAUAAAAAACUGAAGAAAGGUCUAAUGUGGCUUAAAUACAGAAGCUAGUAGGAGAGGAGUUGAAAAGAGGCUGGAGAAGUAGAAAGUGUCUGCAUUCUGCAGGAACUUAUAUUGUAUAAAAAGAAUUUCUCUUUAUUCUAAGUGCAAUGUGAAGCCAAUGAAGUGCUUUAAACAGGUGAUGUGAUUUGAUUGAAUUUAUUACUUCACUUAACAAAUACUCAUUACAUGCCCACUGUUUGUCAGAGAUUGCUGUAGCCCCUGGUG